UGCCGAUGGCCAAUCUCCAUUGGUGAGAAUGAGAGGAGGAGGAAGCAGAAGAAGAAAAAGACCGUUGUGCUGAACACGUGACAUUCUCAACCGUGUGAAGUGCGGUCGGGUCUGCCGCAGGACAAGCAGAUGGAGGAACGUUCUUCUUCGUUUCUGAGGCUAAGCCGGAUCUUGCGAGCUGCAAAGACGGAAACCAACGACAGAGCGCAGCGGCGACGAAAACUUGCCCUUAUCGGGACAGUAGUCUGGACGGCAUCCUUGAUAGCAUUUAUCACCAUGGUCUGGAUUGUAAGCUGCCACACGUAAAAGAAAGUAUCUAUUGCUCUAGUCCUGCUGAAGACACCCAACGAGUCAUCACGCAGCGGGUCAAUGAGAGUCAUCCACGCUACAUUUCCUGUUGCUUUCGGAAGCGCUCAGCGUUGCGCUGCGCUAUAUGCAGCAUUAUGCUAUACUAGAGAAGGAAGCACAAAUAUUUCUACUUCACUAUGAACGACAUCCUGGCAAAACAUCGUUUGAGUGUUGCAUUCGCUUUUGCUUAUUACCAUUAAAUUCGUAGACACUGUUUCUAGCGCA